GAUGAAGAACGCAGCGAAAUGCGAUAAGUAGUGUGAAUUGCAGAAUUCACUGAAUCAUCGAAUCUUUGAACGCACAUUGCGCCCCUUGGUAUCCCGAGGGGCAUGCCUGUUCGAGCGUCAUUUCACCACUCAAGCCUGGCUUGGUGUUGGGCGACGUCCUCUUUGGGGACGCGCCUCGAAACGCUCGGCGGCGUGGCACCGGCUUUAAGCGUAGCAGAAUCUUUCGCUUUGGAAGUCGGGGCCCCGUCUGCCGGAAGACCUGCUCGCAAGGUUGACCUCGGAUCAGGCAGGGAUACCCGCUGAACUUAAGCAUAUCAAUAAGCGGAGGA
rnacentral:misc_RNA from 1 species